UUACUUACUUGGAUGGGGUCAAUGGUUGAUCAUGAAGGACCAUGGCCUAGGAGAGUGACCUCUAUUGUACUUAUAAGGGUUGAUAUCCUAAGCUCUACCCAAGUGGUGGAACCUAAAUCAUAAUUUGUUUCAGUGGGGGCCUACGUUCGCGUGACCCGAC